AGCUCCGUAGUUCAAUGGAUAGAACAAAAGUUUCCUAAACUUUAGAUCUAAGUUCGAUUCUUAGCGGAGCUACUA
rnacentral:tRNA from 1 species